rnacentral:tRNA from 1 species
GCGGGGGUGCUGGAAUAGGCAGACAGGCAUGUUUGAGGGACAUGUGCGUUAAUCGUGUGUGGGUUCGAACCCCAUCCCCCGCACCA